rnacentral:lncRNA from 1 species
GCAGUCCCGGUUUUCGCGGCGGCAGGCUGGAGCAGGAGGCAGGCUGGGAUGGGGUUGGAGGGGCCAAGAUAGGCCCAAAAGAAGGGGGCACUGGGCGUUAGGGGCGCAGGUCCAGCCAGUUAGCAAGGGCGGCGCGCUGGGAAGAGUGGUGUAUUUUCACGCCGACACCCGUAUUUUCUUGGCUUGCCUCAAGCCGUCUCUGCGUGACUCGUUACCCCGCCGAAGCCACCCGGCAUCCCAAAGCACGAGCCUGGCGCCUCCUAUUCCACGCGGAAGUGCCCGAGUGACCCUGUGAAGGACCUCCCUCCCCUCACACACGCACAUACACAAGCCCAUGUGGGAGCCCGAGUGACGUGUGCUCGGUGGUCAUGCACCAUCAUUUCCCUUCCACCUUCCUCCUCGCCGCUUCCUCUCCCUCCACCGCGCAGCUCCAGCCGCCUUGCCGCCGCCGCAUCCCCUUCCAAGUUCAGGCUGUGGGUGGAACCUGUUGCUUUAGCUCACGUUUCCCUUCCCCUCCGGGCUGCACGCUGAGGAUGACCUCAGCGAGGUUUGGCUUCCUUGAGACAGAGGAUCUUGCUCGCCUCAAAGAGGAGGGCAGUUUGCCCCCUUCCUCCUGACUCCAAGACAAAAGAGAGAAGACUGAAGAGUGGUAAAGCUUGUGGUGUGAGAUUUGGAUUGUUGGAUCCAGGGCCUCUCAGAGUUCACCUGAGCUUUCCCAAGUCUGGUUUGUUCUCUCUACCCUGCUGCUACUACUGCAAGUGACUUUCACAAGAUGCUUCUGAGCAUAGCAUUGCUCUGCUGUGACCACUGCAGAUGUCAAGAGAAUUUCUGCCUUUUGGAACUUGGACAAUAUUGGCCACCUACCCAGAGAGAGGAGAAGGAUAAUCCAGACAUAAAGGUAGCUCCCACACAUCCUUUGGAUCUCUGAUAAAGAGUCAUAUACUUAAAGAGCCAUCCUCACAUUCCUGCCCAGGUAUACCCCAAAUAAAAGUUAUCAUAGCACUGUGCAUUCCUCCUUUGUAACACUUGCCACCAUUGAAAUUUUAUUUGCUUGUGUGAUUAUUUUGUCUACCUUCUCUCCUCUAGACUGUGAGCUGCAUGAGAGAGGCCAUGUCUCAUUUUGUUCCAUUACAUCUCCAGCACUUAAGAGUGCUGGACACAUAACGAGUGUCUGACACAUAACGAGUGCUGAAUAAAUGUUUGUUAACUGAUAAAAUG